UGGUGCCAGCACUGCGGUUAGACUGAGGAGGAGAUUAGAAGUGUUCGGGCUAUAGUUUGGUGAUUUCCUUAUUGCUAUUAUGUUUUAGUUGGGGGUGAAAUUUUUAACUAAAUAGAUAAUUUUAAAAUAGGAUUUGCUGAGGCUAUUAAGAUUUAAAUAGAAACUGGGAUUAGAUACCCCAUUAUUUUAAAAUAAAAAAGUGUCUACUUGAUUAGUAUUUGUUAUGUGCUUGAAAUUUAGAGAAUUUGGCGGUAUUUAAGUCUGGUUAGAGGAACCUGCUUCUUAAAACGAUAAACCACGAAGUAUCUUAUUUUUCUUUGUUUUCAGUUUGUAUACCUCCAUUAUUAGGUGUAGUUAAGAAACUUUUACUUUAAUAUAGAGUUUUAUUUAUAGGAUAUUAGGUCAAGGUGCAGCUUAUGGGAAAAUUGAUUGUGGGUUACAUUUUUAUUUUAGAUUCGAAAAGGAAGUUGAAAUUUUUUCUUAGAAUUGGAUUUAAUUGUAAUUUUUAUUUAAUAUGUAAAAUUGAUAUUAGCUCUUAAAUAUGUACAUAUCGCCCGUCGCUCUCAUCAUUAGUUGAGAUAAGUCGUAACAAAGUAGGA
rnacentral:rRNA from 1 species